UAGAAAACGUUGAUGAAGAGAAGUAGUAAUACUCGACUUAUAAGAGAAGCUGUGGUUGGUGAAAACAGUUAAGAAAAGUAUUAACGAAUAACACUUCGGAGUGCUUAAAGAAUAAAGUAGACUAAGCCGGGUAGACUCCCGUUAACAAGAUAAGCGAUUAUCAUACUUGAUAAUAAAUUGGGUGGUACCGCGGGUAAAAGACUCGUCCCUUAA
rnacentral:ncRNA from 1 species